rnacentral:sRNA from 1 species
AAAAAACAGAAAACAAAACA